rnacentral:rRNA from 1 species
UACGGAGGGGGCUAGCGUUGUUCGGAAUUACUGGGCGUAAAGCGCACGUAGGCGGCUUUUUAAGUCAGAAGUGAAAUCCUGGAGCUCAACUCCAGAACUGCCUUUGAUACUGAGAGGCUUGAGUCCGGGAGAGGUGAGUGGAACUGCGAGUGUAGAGGUGAAAUUCGUAGAUAUUCGCAAGAACACCAGUGGCGAAGGCGGCUACCUGGACCAGCACUGACACUGAGGCACGAAAGCGUGGGGAGCAAACAGG